UACGAAGGGGGCUAGCGUUGUUCGGAAUUACUGGGCGUAAAGCGCGUGUAGGCGGGUCUUUAAGUCAGGGGUGAAAUGCCAGGGCUCAACCUUGGAACUGCCUUUGAUACUGGAGACCUUGAGUCCGGGAGAGGUGAGUGGAAUUGCGAGUGUAGAGGUGAAAUUCGUAGAUAUUCGCAAGAACACCAGUGGCGAAGGCGGCUCACUGGCCCGGAACUGACGCUGAGGCACGAAAGCGUGGGGAGCAAACAGG
rnacentral:rRNA from 1 species